AGAACGAACGCUGGCGGCAUGCCUAAUACAUGCAAGUCGAACGAACACUUCGGUGUUAGUGGCGCACGGGUGCGUAACGCGUGGGAAUCUGCCCUUGGGUUCGGAAUAACAGUUGGAAACGACUGCUAAUACCGGAUGAUGACAAAAGUCCAAAGAUUUAUCGCCCAGGGAUGAG
rnacentral:rRNA from 1 species